UGUUGUGAGCUCGAUGAGUAGGGCGGGACACGUGGUAUCCUGUCUGAAUAUGGGGGGACCAUCCUCCAAGGCUAAAUACUCCUGACUGACCGAUAGUGAACCAGUACCGUGAGGGAAAGGCGAAAAGAACCCCGGCGAGGGGAGUGAAAAAGAACCUGAAACCGUGUACGUACAAGCAGUGGGAGCCUCUUUAAUGGGGUGACUGCGUACCUUUUGUAUAAUGGGUCAGCGACUUAUAUUCUGUAGCAAGGUUAACCGAAUAGGGGAGCCGAAGGGAAACCGAGUCUUAACUGGGCGUUAAGUUGCAGGGUAUAGACCCGAAACCCGGUGAUCUAGCCAUGGGCAGGUUGAAGGUUGGGUAACACUAACUGGAGGACCGAACCGACUAAUGUUGAAAAAUUAGCGGAUGACUUGUGGCUGGGGGUGAAAGGCCAAUCAAACCGGGAGAUAGCUGGUUCUCCCCGAAAGCUAUUUAGGUAGCGCCUCGUGAAUUCAUCUCCGGGGGUAGAGCACUGUUUCGGCUAGGGGGCCAUCCCGGCUUACCAACCCGAUGCAAACUGCGAAUACCGGAGAAUGUUAUCACGGGAGACACACGGCGGGUGCUAACGUCCGUCGUGAAGAGGGAAACAACCCAGACCGCCAGCUAAGGUCCCAAAGUCAUGGUUAAGUGGGAAACGAUGUGGGAAGGCUCAGACAGCCAGGAUGUUGGCUUAGAAGCAGCCAUCAUUUAAAGAAAGCGUAAUAGCUCACUGGUCGAGUCGGCCUGCGCGGAAGAUGUAACGGGGCUAAACCAUGCACCGAAGCUGCGGCAGCGACACGAAGUGUUGUUGGGUAGGGGAGCGUUCUGUAAGCCUGUGAAGGUGUGCUGUGAGGCAUGCUGGAGGUAUCAGAAGUGCGAAUGCUGACAUAAGUAACGAUAAAGCGGGUGAAAAGCCCGCUCGCCGGAAGACCAAGGGUUCCUGUCCAACGUUAAUCGGGGCAGGGUGAGUCGACCCCUAAGGCGAGGCCGAAAGGCGUAGUCGAUGGGAAACAGGUUAAUAUUCCUGUACCAGGUGUUACUGCGAAGGGGGGACGGAGAAGGCUAUGUUGGCCGGGCGACGGUUGUCCCGGUUUAAGCGUGUAGGUGUGUGUUCCAGGUAAAUCCGGUUCACUUUAACACUGAGGCGUGAUGACGAGGCACUACGGUGCUGAAGUGACAAAUGCCCUGCUUCCAGGAAAAGCCUCUAAGCAUCAGGUAACAUCAGAUCGUACCCCAAACCGACACAGGUGGUCAGGUAGAGAAUACCAAGGCGCUUGAGAGAACUCGGGUGAAGGAACUAGGCAAAAUGGUGCCGUAACUUCGGGAGAAGGCACGCUGAUAUGUAGGUGAAGCGAUUUACUCGUGGAGCUGAAAUCAGUCGAAGAUACCAGCUGGCUGCAACUGUUUAUUAAAAACACAGCACUGUGCAAACACGAAAGUGGACGUAUACGGUGUGACGCCUGCCCGGUGCCGGAAGGUUAAUUGAUGGGGUUAUCCGUAAGGAGAAGCUCUUGAUCGAAGCCCCGGUAAACGGCGGCCGUAACUAUAACGGUCCUAAGGUAGCGAAAUUCCUUGUCGGGUAAGUUCCGACCUGCACGAAUGGCGUAAUGAUGGCCAGGCUGUCUCCACCCGAGACUCAGUGAAAUUGAACUCGCUGUGAAGAUGCAGUGUACCCGCGGCAAGACGGAAAGACCCCGUGAACCUUUACUAUAGCUUGACACUGAACACUGGUCCUUGAUGUGUAGGAUAGGUGGGAGGCUUUGAAGCGCGGACGCCAGUUCGUGUGGAGCCGUCCUUGAAAUACCACCCUUUAAUGGCUGGUGUUCUAACGUGGGCCCGUAAUCCGGGUUGCGGACAGUGUCUGGUGGGUAGUUUGACUGGGGCGGUCUCCUCCUAAAGAGUAACGGAGGAGCACGAAGGUUAGCUAAUCCUGGUCGGACAUCAGGAGGUUAGUGCAAAG
rnacentral:rRNA from 1 species